rnacentral:snoRNA from 1 species
AACCUCCAGAUUCUUUCCUCAUCAGAUUUAACAUUGAUCUGAUGACUACACAAGGAGAAAAAUUAAAAUGGAAAUGACCUUAGCUUCGUUUGUGACAUACAAUUUUGAUUCAAACAAAA